AAAUAUGAUGCUUCCCAUACAUGGCUAGGAGGUGCUUCUUAUGCUAUCUUACUUGUGCAACCUGAGCUCAGUCGUGAUUACCCGCUGAACUUAAAGCAU
rnacentral:rRNA from 1 species